UUUUUUUUUUUUUUUUGGUAGUGUUACAGUUUUAUACCUUUGUUAUAUUUUUGAGACCGAAAGAAAAAAAUUCUUGUGUGCUGUUAUUGGUUUCAAUCCAAGUGCACAACAGAUCAAAAACACGAGGGAGUGGAUAGAUAUGACAAGAAAGUAGAAUACGAGUGCAAUAUCUGCAAAACUGUUUGCAUUGUACACUCCAGAUUGCUUUGGCGUGUGUAUCAGGUCACGUUUAUGUAUCCAUGCUGUUUGUGUACACAGAUCACCGUUUUUAAUUAUCAUAGACUGGAAGCGGACGGCACUUAAAGAGUAUAACGUGGCAUGCCGUGCUACUUAAAUAACCGUUGCGUGGCUUAUAUCUGGGACUCAGACGGAAGGCAUCACCUUUCAUCAAAACACGUCCUUGUUUUCUUUUAUUUCCAAACAAAACCUUUUCAGUGCUGUGGAUUUUACAGUUAAUACGUUGUUGAAAGACGAAUGAGACGUUAUCUUCACCGUGAUAACACAGCACUCUACAGCUUGCUAGUGAAGACUGACACAAAGUUGCUUCUUUAACACAGAGAGCUUUGUUAUCAUUUUUCUUGCAAGGGACGUCUCUGUUUUCCCCUCAACCUUCUGUUUUAUUGCUGAAGGAUGUUUCAUGCCUUUUACCACAUACAGUGGCACAGCAAGACUAGCAGAAAGAGAAGUCUUGAUUGUCAACGCUCAAGAGCGACCUGGAGCUCAUGCAGUAGCACUAUUCUCCAGAUGGCUUUCCACAGCAUCGUCUUCCGUAACACACCAGCGAGCCACGAGACUGAGACAGAAAUUCCAAUGUGGGGAGGGUGUGAGUCAUGAGAUGAUACUAACCAUUAGGAAGACACUGCUGCAGAGACUGAAACCAAACCCAUUUAUUCCUUGUUCUCAAGUCGUCUUGGGUUGGAAGCUGCCAAAAAAUUCUCUCCUGGAUAAAUAACUGUGAUGUCCCCAUCAAGCAUAUGUUGUCAGUGAGUUGGAUUUCUUCAUUCAAAUUGUUGAAAAUCUGUUCUGCUUGGAAGUUUCUCUCGCAGAGGAAUUAUUCAGCACCACAAAAGGAGUGUGCAGGGAUCCCAUCAAAGUUUAAAUGCUUUGAACUCACUCCUAGGCACAAGAAGACUUUACUACUUGAGAUUUUGUUUGGACAUAAAUGAGUUUUUGUCAUAGAUUGGGCAUCUUCUAACAUGGUCCCUCCAUAACAAAAUUUCUCAUCAUUCUGGAAGAAGAUUUGAGUAUUUGUUCUUUUGUUUGCAUUCAUCUUUAUUUAUUUUGUAUUCUUGAGAUGUGUUGCAUCUCUGGAGUUUGUAUUUCUACUUUUAGCGUAAAAAUGUUGUACAUAACAAGUCUAGAAUGCAUCUGAAGAGUAGUCUAAUUUUUCAAGUGACUUUGACUUGAACAUUUUUAUGUUUAUGUUUAUAUUGCUAUUUCAAAAAUGUGCAUUACCUGUAUUAUUUAUGCCUUUUCCCCAUCUAUAACUCAAUAAAAUUAUGUCCUCAUUCUGCA
rnacentral:lncRNA from 1 species